rnacentral:rRNA from 1 species
UACGUAGGGUGCAGGCGUUAAUCGGAAUUACUGGGCGUAAAGCGUGCGCAGGCGGCUCCUUAAGUCAGAUGUGAAAGCCCCGGGCUUAACCUGGGAACUGCGUUUGAAACUGGGGAGCUUGAGUGUGGAAGAGGGGGGUGGAAUUCCAGGUGUAGCAGUGAAAUGCGUAGAGAUCCGGAGGAACACCGAUGGCGAAGGCAGCCCCCUGGGCUAACACUGACGCUCAUGCACGAAAGCGUGGGGAGCAAACAGG